AUUCGGGACUGGGGUGAAGUCGUAACAAGGUAACCGUAGGGGAACCUGCGGUUGGAUCACCUCCUUACCUUAAAGAAGC
rnacentral:rRNA from 1 species